rnacentral:sRNA from 1 species
AUGGCUGUCGUCAGCUCGUGUCGUGAGAUGUUGGGUUAAGUCCCGCAACGAGCGCAACCCUCACUUUUAGUUGCCACCAUUUAGUUGGGCACUCUGAAAGAACUGCCAGUGAUAAGCUGGAGGAAGGUGGGGAUGACGUCAAGUCCUCAUGGCCCUUAUGUGUUGGGCUACACACGUGCUACAAUGGCAUUUACAAUAGGAAGCAAGAUGGCGACAUUAAGCAAAUCCUAAAAAAAUGCCUCAGUUCGGAUUGUACUCUGCAACUCGAGUACAUGAAGCUGGAAUUACUAGUAAUCGUGGAUCAGCGUGCCACGGUGAAUACGUUCCCGGGCCUUGUACACACCGCCCGUCACACCACGAAAGUCAGCAACACCCGAAGUCAGUGGCCUAACUCUUAGGAGAAGGAGCUGCCGAAGGUGGGGUCGGCGAUUGGGGUGAAGUCGUAACAAGGUAGCCGUACCGGAAGGUGCGGCUGGAUCACCUCCUUUCUAAGGAGUACAUACCAUCGUCGUUGUCGGCCAUUACGUGUCGACCGGUGAUGGUCACUCUCAGUUAGCGCACUGGUUAGUUGGUCACGUUUCCAGGCUCGAGAUACUCGAGUCAUGGCAACGGUGACGUUCCGUUCUCUAUCCCGUUUUGAGGGAGCGCUACGCGCUCGUCCUCAGUGGUCCGAUCCCACCUCGGUUACGCACCAGUUGCGUUCCGGUGGUGCCAUCGGGCCACAGGCCACGGCCGAUGGUGAACUUCCCACCCGGGAAGGCUCACAACGCCGUAGCCGGCCCCAGGGCCGGCAGAUGCCUCUUGAGAACUGCACAGCGAACACGAGCAUCUUCAUCAAUUGUCGAUGUAUUUGUAAUUUCCAAGCUACUAAGAGCCAACGGUGAAUGCCUUGGCGACUACUACCGAAGAAGGACGUGGGUGGCUGCGAAAAGCCACGGUGAGCUGUCUACCGAGCUUUGACCCGUGGAUGUCCGAAUGGGGAAACCCGG